GAUGAACGCUGGCGGCGUGCCUAAUACAUGCAAGUCGAGCGAACAGACGAGGAGCUUGCUCCUCUGACGUUAGCGGCGGACGGGUGAGUAACACGUGGAUAACCUACUUAUAAGACUGGGAUAACUUCGGGAAACCGGAGCUAAUACCGGAUAACAUGUUGAACCGCAUGGUUCAACAGUGAAAGACGGUCUUGCUGUCACUUAUAGACGGAUCCGCGCCGCAUUAGCUAGUUGGUAAGGUAACGGCUUACCAAGGCAACGAUGCGUAGCCGACCUGAGAGGGUGAUCGGCCACACUGGAACUGAGACACGGUCCAGACUCCUACGGGAGGCAGCAGUAGGGAAUCUUCCGCAAUGGGCGAAAGCCUGACGGAGCAACGCCGCGUGAGUGAAGAAGGUCUUCGGAUCGUAAAACUCUGUUAUUAGGGAAGAACAAAUGUGUAAGUAACUAUGCACGUCUUGACGGUACCUAAUCAGAAAGCCACGGCUAACUACGUG
rnacentral:rRNA from 1 species